rnacentral:rRNA from 1 species
CCCUUAUCUUCAGUUGCUACCAUUUAGUUGAGCACUCUGACGAAACCGCCUCGGAUAACGGGGAGGAAGGUGGGGAUGACGUCAAGUCCUCAUGGCCUUUAUGUCCAGGGCUACACACGUGCUACAAUGGCCGGUACAAACCGCUGCAACCCCGCGAGGGUGAGCUAAUCGGAAAAAGCCGGCCUCAGUUCGGAUUGGAGUCUGCAACUCGACUCCAUGAAGCUGGAAUCGCUAGUAAUCGUGGAUCAGCAUGCCACGGUGAAUACGUUCCCGGGCCUUGUACACACCGCCCGU